UGCGUAGGCGGAAGAUUAAGUCAGUGGUGAAAUCCUGCAGCUCAACUGUAGAACUGUCAUUGAUACUGAUUUCCUUGAAUACAGUAGAGGUAGGCGGAAUAUGUAAUGUAGCGGUGAAAUGCUUAGAUAUUACAUAGAACACCGAUUGCGAAGGCAGCUUACUAUACUGUGAUUGACGCUGAGGCACGAAAGCGUGGGGAGCGAACAGGAUUAGAUACCCUGGUAGUCC
rnacentral:rRNA from 1 species